AAGAAACUAACGAGGAUUCCCGUAGUAACGGCGAGUGAACUGGGAAGAGUCCAGCGCUGAAUCACUUCUCCUCUGGGGUCGUGAGGUGUAGCGUACAGACCGUGAGCUUGGAUUGGCCUGCUUGUUCAAGUUUCCCUUGACCGGGGCUCCAGAGAAGGUGCAAGACCUGUCCAACGAGUGGUUGCCUAUCCAUCUUCGCGUGUCUUGGAGUCGGGUUGUUUGGGAUCGCAGCCCAAAGUAGGUGGUAAACUUCAUCUAAGACUGAAUACGGCCACGAGUCCGAUAGCGAACAAGUACCGUGAGGGAAAGUUGCAAAGCACUUUGAAGAGAGAGUUAAAGAGGACGUGAAACCGAUGAGAUGGAAACGGACAGAGCUGGCGUAUCUGGUCUGCAUUCAUCCGUGUGUUCUUGGGCGUUUGGAUUGCCACUCUCCAGACUGGGAUGGUGUUCAUUCUGUUCAGGGGGCUCAUGGAGCAUUUGCAGGCGGAGUGCGCUGAGAUGCUCGGAGCAGCUGCAUGAGCUUGGCUUUGAGGCCAGCCCUUCGGGGUCUGGUACCCGGGCUGUGGGAGUGCUGUUUGUUCUGGGUGCUGAGUGUGUGCAAUGGCAACGGGUCCGUGUUGGUUUGAG
rnacentral:rRNA from 1 species